GACGGAGGCUGCAAGUGUUAUCCGGAAUCACUGGGCGUAAAGCGCACGUAGGCGGGCUCUUAAGUCGGUGGUGAAAUCCUGGAGCUCAACUCCAGAACUGCCUCCGAUACUGAGAGUCUUCGAGUCCGGGAGAGGUGAGUGGAACUGCGAGUGUAGAGGUGAAAUUCGUAGAUAUUCGCAAGAACACCAGUGGCGAAGGCGGCUCACUGGCCCGGUACUGACGCUGAGGUGCGAAAGCGUGGGGAGCAAACAGG
rnacentral:rRNA from 1 species